rnacentral:ncRNA from 2 species
GCGCGGCAUGCGGGAGAGAACUCCCGACUCGGAGUCGCCGAAGGCGCAACCCCCCGGAACCGCUCAGGCAAAAGGACCGCAUGCAAAGU